ACUAAGAGGAGUCCAGCAACCCCUUAAAAAAACGGGGCGUAACCGAAAAGCCACACGAGUAGGAAAUAA
rfam:Arenibacter sp. C-21 DNA, contig: C21_contig0017.